rnacentral:rRNA from 1 species
UAGGGAAUAUUGCUCAAUGGGCGAAAGCCUGAAGCAGCAACGCCGCGUGGAGGAUGACACUUUUCGGAGCGUAAACUCCUUUUGUUGGGGAAGAAAUUUGACGGUACCCAACGAAUAAGCACCGGCUAACUCCGUGCCAGCAGCCGCGGUAAUACGGAGGGUGCAAGCGUUACUCGGAAUCACUGGGCGUAAAGGACGCGUAGGCGGAUUAUCAAGUCUUUUGUGAAAUCUAAUGGCUUAACCAUUAAACUGCUUGAGAAACUGAUAAUCUAGAGUGAGGGAGAGGCAGAUGGAAUUGGUGGUGUAGGGGUAAAAUCCGUAGAGAUCACCAAGAAUACCCAUUGCGAAGGCGAUCUGCUAGAACUCAACUGACGCUAAUGCGUGAAAGCGUGGGGAGCAAACAGG